CGUAGGCGGUGAUAUGAGUGUUAUGUGAAAGCCCCGGGCUUAACCUGGGAAGUGCAUAGCAAACGAUAUGACUAGAGUAUAUGAGAGGGUGGCGGAAUUUCCGGUGUAGCGGUGAAAUGCGUAGAGAUCGGAAGGAACGUCAAUGGCGAAGGCAGCCACCUGGCAUCAUACUGACGCUGAGGCGCGAAAGCGUGGGGAGCGAACAGGAUUAGAUACCCUGGUAGUCCACGCUGUAAACGAUGAGAACUAAAUGUUGGUUGGGGAACCAAUCGGUAUUGAAGCUAACGCGAUAAGUUCUCCGCCUGGGAAGUACGGCCGCAAGGUUGAA
rnacentral:rRNA from 1 species